CCUACGGGAGGCAGCAGUAGGGAAUAUUGGACAAUGGGCGCAAGCCUGAUCCAGCCAUGCCGCGUGAGUGAAGAAGGCCCUCGGGUUGUAAAGCUCUUUUGUUGGGGAAGAAAAGCAUCCGGUUAAUACCCGGGUGUUCUGACGGUACCCAAAGAAUAAGCACCGGCUAACUUCGUGCC
rnacentral:rRNA from 1 species